rnacentral:rRNA from 1 species
UAAUACAGAGGGUGCAAGCGUUAAUCGGAAUUACUGGGCGUAAAGCGUGCGUAGACGGUUGCGUAAGUCAGAUGUGAAAGCCCCGGGCUCAACCUGGGAAUUGCAUUUGAGACUGCGUAGCUAGGGUGCGGAAGAGGGAAGCGGAAUUUCCGGUGUAGCGGUGAAAUGCGUAGAUAUCGGAAGGAACACCAGUGGCGAAAGCGGCUUCCUGGUCCAGCACCGACGUUCAGGCACGAA